UGAAUGAAUAAAUGCCUCCAUUCUCUACUACGUGAAAACUGCCGCCCAGAGAAGCUCAAUACAUCCAUCAGGCAACCAGGAUGACGAGGGCAUGCCGAUCUAUGUUUGCCAAGCGACUUUAAAGAAGCUGAGCUUCACGCUCUUGCAGGCUUCGUCACCCCUCACUUCGCGCAAGUCUCCUCACUGGGAUCCUACUAGCCUGGCUACCUCCCCCAUCCCCAACUGCCGUGAGAGCUCAUACUAACGUGCUCAUCUGUCCCCUGCUGAAACCUCCCAAAUACCACCCUCUGUUGGCCGAAUGACAAACUCCUGAACAUGCCAGGGAAGGCCACGCAUGCUCUGGCCCCUUUCCACCCCUGGGGUCCUCUCAUCCCGGGACUUCCCUCACAGAGCACCCUUCACCCUGAAGUCUCCUUGAACCACUGACAGUUCCCCAAAUGUCCCUGUUGACUUUUAUUUUUUAUAAAAUAGGCAUAUUUAUAGGGCUGCCAGGAGAAGUCAAUAAAAUAAGAUGU
rnacentral:lncRNA from 1 species